GGCGGCGUGCUUAACACAUGCAAGUCGAACGGAAAGGCCCUGCUUUUGUGGGGUGCUCGAGUGGCGAACGGGUGAGUAACACGUGAGUAACCUGCCCUUGACUUUGGGAUAACUUCAGGAAACUGGGGCUAAUACCGGAUAGGAGCUCCUGCUGCAUGGUGGGGGUUGGAAAGUUUCGGCGGUUGGGGAUGGACUCGCGGCUUAUCAGCUUGUUGGUGGGGUAGUGGCUUACCAAGGCUUUGACGGGUAGCCGGCCUGAGAGGGUGACCGGCCACAUUGGGACUGAGAUACGGCCCAGACUCCUACGGGAGGCAGCAGUGGGGAAUAUUGCACAAUGGGCGGAAGCCUGAUGCAGCAACGCCGCGUGCGGGAUGACGGCCUUCGGGUUGUAAACCGCUUUCGCCUGUGACGAAGCGUGAGUGACGGUAAUGGGUAAAGAAGCACCGGCUAACUACGUGCCAGCAGCCGCGGUGAUACGUAGGGUGCGAGCGUUGUCCGGAUUUAUUGGGCGUAAAGGGCUCGUAGGUGGUUGAUCGCGUCGGAAGUGUAAUCUUGGGGCUUAACCCUGAGCGUGCUUUCGAUACGGGUUGACUUGAGGAAGGUAGGGGAGAAUGGAAUUCCUGGUGGAGCGGUGGAAUGCGCAGAUAUCAGGAGGAACACCAGUGGCGAAGGCGGUUCUCUGGGCCUUUCCUGACGCUGAGGAGCGAAAGCGUGGGGAGCGAACAGGCUUAGAUACCCUGGUAGUCCACGCUGUAAACGGUGGGUACUAGGUGUGGGGUCCAUUCCACGGGUUCCGUGCCGUAGCUAACGCUUUAAGUACCCCGCCUGGGGAGUACGGCCGCAAGGCUAAAACUCAAAGGAAUUGACGGGGCCCCGCACAAGCGGCGGAGCAUGCGGAUUAAUUCGAUGCAACGCGUAGAACCUUACCUGGGUUUGACAUGGAUCGGGAGUGCUCAGAGAUGGGUGUGCCUCUUUUGGGGUCGGUUCACAGGUGGUGCAUGGCUGUCGUCAGCUCGUGUCGUGAGAUGUUGGGUUAAGUCCCGCAACGAGCGCAACCCUUGUUCACUGUUGCCAGCACGUUAUGGUGGGGACUCAGUGGAGACCGCCGGGGUCAACUCGGAGGAAGGUGGGGAUGACGUCAAGUCAUCAUGCCCCUUAUGUCCAGGGCUUCACGCAUGCUACAAUGGCUGGUACAGAGAGUGGCGAGCCUGUGAGGGUGAGCGAAUCUCGGAAAGCCGGUCUCAGUUCGGAUUGGGGUCUGCAACUCGACCUCAUGAAGUCGGAGUCGCUAGUAAUCGCAGAUCAGCAACGCUGCGGUGAAUACGUUCCCGGGGCUUGUACACACCGCCCGUCAAGUCAUGAAAGUUGGUAACACCCGAAGCCGGUGGCCUAACCGUUGUGGGGGAGCCGUCGAAGGUGGGACUGGUGAUUAGGACUAAGUCAUAACAAG
rnacentral:rRNA from 1 species